rnacentral:tRNA from 1 species
GUGGCUAUAGCUCAGUGGUAGAGCAUAUGCUUAGCAUGUGCAAGGUCUUGGAUUCAAUCCCCAGUGGCUCUG